rnacentral:rRNA from 1 species
GCAAGUCUGGUGCCAGCAGCCGCGGUAAUUCCAGCUCCAAUAGCGUAUAUUAAAGUUGUUGCAGUUAAAAAGCUCGUAGUUGAAUUUUAGGCCCGGUUGGACGGUCUGCCUUUGGGUUUGUACUGUCCUGACUGGGCCUUACCUUCUGGUGAGCUGUCGUGUUGUUUACUCAGCGCGGCAGGGAACCAGGACUUUUACUUUGAAAAAAUUAGAGUGUUUAAAGCAGGCAUUCGCUUGAAUACAUUAGCAUGGAAUAAUAGAAUAGGACUUUGGUUCUAUUUUGUUGGUUUCUAGGACCGAAGUAAUGAUUAAUAGGGAUAGUUGGGGGCAUUAGUAUUUAAUUGUCAGAGGUGAAAUUCUUGGAUUUAUGAAAGACUAACUUCUGCGAAAGCAUUUGCCAA